rnacentral:lncRNA from 1 species
CGACACCUAUGGUCCAUGGAUGCUCGUUGAAAAAUGAGAUCGGCGAUGGUCAAAAGAGAGGAAGACCAUUAACGGAGCAGCCAGAGAGAAGACGCAAGAAAAUAUACGGUUUUAACUUCUAGAAACCCUAAAUGAUAAAAUGGGUCUGCAUGAGAGUAGGCCCACUAAGGAAACCAACCUGACCCAAAAGGAGUUAGGGUUUGUGGUGGAACAAAUAGCUGCAAAAAAAGGAACCUCCCCCACAAGCCAAUUUCAACAAAGACCUGGUAAGGAGAUUAUAACUCCCCCAGGCUUAAGCAAACAGAAUCAGACCAGAAAGAAAUUGCACAACGCACUCUCUAAAGGAGACCAGAAUGGGCUUAACCUAGAGAAACAAGGCCAAUUAGGCCCGAUGCAACUUGAACUUAGAACAAGUAAGGAAAAAGAAACAAAUGACCACGUUCGGGAAGAAACACAAACAGUGUUUACCUCGUCAUAACGGUAAUCAAAAGGAGAACCGGUGACGGACGCGACGGAGGUCAAAGCACAUAGUGUGAUGCAAGGGAGACAAAUCGUAGGGGAAACCCAUGGCACACAACCAACAGCAAAAUUGGAGCCACACCCUAGCCAUCGUUUCAAUGCCAAAAGUCUGCUGGAGGUUUCGAUAACCCCAUCUAAUGGAGUAUUAGAUUCAACCAAACAUUCAGUAAUGUUUCAAGAAUCUGGUACCCUCGGGGAAAAACAAGAGGAGCAUUUAACACAUAAAAAUGCUAUGGGGUGACGAAAGAAUACCUUUACCGUGCGCACCAGUGGGGGAAAAUUGAAUGGAAACACGAAGGGCCAAAAACUCAAAAGAACUAUUCGAGAUAAAGGAAGCCCCUUCAAAGUCACAUCUCUCAAAGUCCCAUUGGUAGAAUCGAUUACUAACAUGGUAUAACUAUUGCAAGAACAAGUUAAGCAAGGUUUUUUCAACAAAGCAAAUGAGGAAGGAGCCGGGUGUGAAGACAGCAAGGACGCCACACGGUAGCAAAACUAGAUUGGGUAUGAUCUUUCGAAUCUUUCAUAAUGAAUUCUAAUUUUAAUUUAUCACUUUUCGUUUGGAAUUGUUAAGGAUGCAUAAGUGCUAAAUUGUCACGCAUCUUUAGAGAGUAUAAUAUAGAUUUUAGACCAGACAUUGUAAGCCUUCUAGAACCAAAUGUGAGUGGUAGCAACGCGGAUGAAAUAAUUGCUAAAUUAGGAUUUCACCGCUCUCGUCGAAUUAAAGCGAGAGGUUUUUCUAGUGGAAUUUGGAUUGGUUGGAGAGAUACAAUCUAAUUUGAAAUAAUCCAAAACCAUCCCCAAUUUAUUCUUGUAAAAAUAUAUAAUCGGGGACUAAUACAACCCAUCCUAAUUGUUAUUGCCUACGGAAGCCCCAACCCCACUAACAGGAAGAGUUUAUAGGAAGCUUUAAAAGCAACUAUACCGUCUGAUCGUACCCCUUGGAUGGCAUUAGGAGAUUUUAACGUGAUUCUCUCCGAAGAAAACAAAAAAAAUGGUAGCACCAUAGGAAAAAUGUGCCCGCACUUCGGAGAAUUCAUGGAAUCCAAAAGCCUACAAGACUUGGAAUUCCAAGGACCCUCGUUUACUUGGCAACGAGGAGAAGUCUUCGAAAGAUUAGAUCGAGCGAUAGGUAAUAAAGCUUAGUGUCAAUCAUUUCCUCAUUGCUUAGCAACACAUCUCACUCGAAUUAAAUUCGACCAUAGGCCGUUGCUUGUAAACAUUGCCCCAGACUUUAAACUCUCUAAAGGACGGCCUUUCAGGUUUCUCGCUGGAUGGACACAACGCCAAGACUUCCCAAACAUAGUUAAAAAUUCAUGAAACUAUAGUGGAGACAUGUACAACUCCUUAAAUCAGCUCACUGUAGGUCUUAAAGUUUGGAACAAAAAUGUAUACGGGCACAUUGGAUUUCGCAAAUAGAAACUAAUGAAAUAUUUAAGCUCGAUACAAAUGAAACUUGAAAGAUCAUAUUCGUAUUCCCUAGCCCAGAAAGAAAUGAACAUUAGAGAAUAACUAGAAAAUGUUCUUAGUCAUGAGGAACUAUUGUGGAAGCAAAUAUCCAGAUGCGGAUGGCUCAAACUAGAGGAUAGGAAUACAAAAUUCUUCCACAGUUGUGCAAUGCACAGAAGGAAUAUUAAUCGUAUUACUGCACUCCGCAACAUAAACGGAGACUGGUUGUAUGACCCAGAAGACAUACAAGAAGAAGCUGUUAAUUACUUUCAAAAAUUAUAUGGCGAAAAGCCAAGUAGAUUAGAAAAAGCUACCCCAAGUCGCUUCCCUCCAUUAGAAAAUAGUGACAUUGAUUUUUUUACAAAAAGAAGUCACGAAUGAAGAAAUCAAAACAACACUAUUUGAUAUGGCUCCCCUAAAAGCACCUGGAAGUGAUGGAUAUCGCGUAUUUUUCUUUCAAAACCAAUGGGAUAACACAGGAGGAGCAGUAUGUGCUUGGGUCAAAGAUGUAUUCAAUGGGCGACCCAUCGACCAAGAACUUAACAACACAUUAAUUAUCCUAAUCCCAAAGAUUGCUCAGCCCGAAGAAAUAUCUCAAUUUAGACCAAUAAGCCUUGUAACGUCCUUUACAAACUAGUCAUGAAAGUAAUAGCCAAUAGAUUCAAAAUAGUCUUCUCUAAAAUCAUCUUACAAGAACCAGUUGGAUUCAUCACCGGAAGGAACAUCACCGAUAACAUCAUCAUAGCACAAAAGGUCAUCCACUCGAUGCGUGGAAAAAAUAAGAAAUAGAUGGCGAUUAAAAUUGACUUGGAAAAAUAUUAUAACAGAGUCAGUUAGGAUUUCAUUGGAAAAUCUAUCCAAGCUGCUAGAAUUUUAGAUUAUCUACGAAAAGUUAUUAUGUCAUCCAUCACAACGGCUACUAUGCAAGUCUUAUGGAAUGAGGUACCCACUGAAAAAUUUAAAUCUGCAAGAGGAGUAAGACAAUGUUGCCCUUUAAUUAUCAUCUUAUUUAUUCGUUUUAUGCAUGGAAUGGCUAGGGCAUAGCUUUCAAGCCUCCAUUUCUUUGAGAGAUUGGGUUCCUGUAAAAUUAUCCAAAACUGAACCCAACUUUUCAUAUUUAUUCUUCGUGGAUGAUUUGGUAAUUUUCUCAAAAGCAGAUAUCAAACAUGGCAUGCUGCUAAAGAACAUUCUUGACCAGUUCUGCAGUUUUUCAGGACACUGUGUCAACAUAAGAAAAACUAACAUAUUUUUUUCAAAAGGAGUAGCAGAAGACUUAAGCGAUAGACUUAGUAGGAUCUUGGGGUACCAGAAAGUAUAAGAAUUAGGCAAAUAUUUAGGUAUCCUUUUACUCCACAAAAGAAUCUCUAAAUCUACAGUACAAUUUGUGAUAAAAAAGGUCCGGUCAAAAUUAUGCAAUUGGGACGCAAAGCAACUAUCCAUGGCAGGAUGCUUUACCCUUAUACAAUCGGUUCUCUUAACUAUUCCUAAUUUUUUCAUGCAAUCAAUGGAAAUUCUAAAAAGGGUGUACGAUGAAAUUGAACACCUAGCAAGACAGUUCAUUUGGGGAUCCAACACGGGAGGUAGGAAGUUAGCACUUGUUGAUUGUGGGAUAAUAUGCCAACCCCGUACAUGUGGUGGUCUAGGCCUAAGACGUUUACAAGACCAAAACAAAUCCUUCUUGUUAAAAUUAGGAAUUAAUCUCAUCUCCAACCAAAAUGCCUUAUGGACCCGUGUGUUACAUUCAAAAUAUGGAAUGAAAAAGUUAAUUCCAGAGAGUAUAGGAAAAAGAAAUAGUUCUGCACUAUGGAAAGCAAUUGAGAAGGUUAGGCCUAUAUUAAAAGACAACCUAUGAUGGUUGAUUAAAGCUGGAGCAGAAAUCUGCUGUUGGAAAGACAAUUGGAUUCCUACAGUUGGGCCACUGAUCAAACAUGUUCAAAAUCCGAAUAGACCAACAGAUGAUUGUUUGCUCAAGGACAUGAUAAUAGCGGAAGGGGUCUGAAACCUAGAAGCAUGCAGAGAAAACUUAGCAGACGAAAUAGUACAAAAAAUUAUAGACAUACCUCCCCCACAUCAUUUAGCAGGGCCCAAUAUUAGAUGGACUCCUGCCUCUAUUGGAAAAUUCUCGAUAAAAAAUGCAUACCAAAUGAUAACAAAAAAUUCAUGGAAUACUCGAGACGCUAGGUGGAAGAAAAUUUGGAAAUAUCUAAGUCCCCAACGUAUUCGGUUCUUCCUAUGGUUAGUUUGCAAACAACGACUGCUCAUGUAAUGAUCCAAAAAUUCAUGGGCAUCGAAAAAGUACAUUAUCGGGCCUCCGUCUUAGUAAAUUGAGUUUGAAAAUAAUUAUUAGAAAUAUUUAUUAGACUAGUUGUGUGUUUAAUUAGGUUUUAAAUGGAUGAAUUUAGCUUAAUUAAGAGUAAUUAGUAAAAAGGAUUAAAUUACAAUAGAAGUAAAAGUUUAAUUAUAUAUUAAAAUAAAAUAUGAGGGACUAAAUAGGUAAAUAAGCCAAUGGCUUAAGUUUAGACGGCAAUAGAUGGAAAAAUCUUAGAUUUUUUCUUGAUUUAUAUUAUAAAAAUAUUAUUAAAUUAAAAUAUUAUAAAUUAUAUUAAUUAAAAUUAAGAUAAUAUAUUAUAAGAAACAAAUAAGAUAAAGACAAUUGUGUGGUGAUAAAAUAAUACAUGUGUAAAAUAUAUAAAAACACUCUUGUAAUAAAAAUAAAACAUUUUCUUAUAAUUUAAGUAAAAGAUAUUUGUGAAUAAAAUAUUAUUAUAUGAUUAUAAUAAUAUAUUAUUAUUAUUAACUAAUGCAUAAAAUUAAACAAAUGAAAUAAAAGAAUAGAAAAAGAGAAACAGAAUAGCUAAAAAGAAACAGAGAACAGACGAAAAAGAAAGAAAGGAAAGGGGAAAUAAAAAUAAAAGGGAAAACUAGGGAUUUGAAGCUUGAAGUUUAAUAGGUAAGCUAAAUCAAGUCUUUUCUCAUAAAUUUGGUGUUUUUGGAAUCCUAGAGUGAAAUACUCUUGUAUUUAAGUUGAAAAUUUGAAAGUUAAUAGAUUUUUGAGUAGGGUUUAUGUUGAAUAAAUGAUGGAAUUGAGGGUUUAUUUGAUUGAGUUUCUAGUUAGAGUUGAUAAAAGGAUUAAAUUGUGAACUAAACUAGAAGUUUUGAAUUUUAGGGAUUAAAUUGAAAUAAAUUCGAAAUUAUAAAAAUAUGAUAAAAAUUAGAUAGUUAAAUGUGAGUUUGGUAGGAAAUUAAGUAGUAAAAAGGUAUGGAUUGAGAAAGAAAAAUAUAUAGGUUAGUUAGGAUUAAAUUAGAAUUAAAGUAAAAGUUAGAUAAAAAUUUCAGCAAUUAAAUUGUUUUGUGCUAAUGAUUGUGAAAUUAUUUUAAUUGUCCAUAGCUAAUAUCGAGCCUGAAGCAUCGGCCCAAAAAGGAAAAGAAAAGAUUGUUGAGGAUUAAAUCCGAAGAGAAUUCCGGUUUGUAUUACUAUAAUUCAAAUUAUUUAUUAUUUGAUGUUGAAUUUAAAUUAUGUGUAUGGUAAGCAUAUAAUAAGGUAAGUAACUUUAUUGAAUUGAAUUUGAAAAAAAUUAAAUUGACUAAGGAAAAUAUGUGUUGGUAUUGAACUGUGUUUUACUUAGUGAAGGGAAAAAGUAUAAUUGAUAUUGAAAAUGAAUUCUUGAAAUAAAAGUGAAAAUUAGAUUGUGAAAUUUAUAUAUCCUAUUAACUAAUCGGGCUGAGUCGGAUAUAAUUGGCAUGCCAUAGGAUUUAGAAGAGUACGGGAUUUAUCGGCUUUGCCGAUCAGACACUUUAUGUGUCGUAUCAAGCACCUCGUGUGUCGUUACAGGCACUUAAGUGUCGUAUACUGAUCAGGUACUAUGUACAGUUUUAGGCACAAUGUGCCGUACUGGUGUGUUUGGGUUGGAAUCUGUGUAUCCGCCAAAGUCCAGAUUGUUAAUAGGGUGAAUAAUUGAAAUGAGAAAAUCAAAUGAAUUUGAUCGAUAGCCGUAUUGAAUAUGAGAAAAUUUAAAAUUAUGAUAGGUGAUUGAGAUUGAAGAAUAGCUUAAUAUUGUAUUGUUGUCAAAUAAUGAAAAUUUAUGAAUAAAUUGAUAUUUAAGAAAUUGGAUUGUUACAUGCUUGGUAAUUAUAAUUCUUUAUUUCUAUUAUAAUUUGAAUUAUAGUAAUACCACUGAGUAUAUAAUACUCAGCGUACGGUUGUUUCCGUGCGCAGGUUGAAAAGGGGUUAGAGUCUCGGUUCAGCAUCCAGGACAAUCUCGACUCCUGCAUAGAGAUUUUGGUGAUGUUUUCUUCCUUAAAUGAAAGUGGCAUGUACAUAAGAAUUAUGAUGGUUAUUUUGGUAUGUUAUAUAGUUUUGUUGUAAAGUAAGAUAUUAUGUGUUUUGAUGAUUAUAUUAGUAAAAUGGUAGAAGUCCUUUAUGGCAUUGGUAUCAAUUUGAAAUGGCUUGAUUAGUUUUAUGUGUUAAUUAGAAAUGAUAAUAGGAUUUUUAUUAAUUAAGUUGUUAUGUCAAUAUGUCAAGUAAGAUUUAAGUAUAUAAAUGCCUUGGUUGAAAUACUGGAAUUGUGUUGCUUAUGUUUUGAAAUUUUGCAGGGGCUUUUAUGAAAAAAUAAGUAGAAAUGCUGCCGAAAUUUUUAUAAAAAAAAUGAAAAUGAAUGGAGUCAAUUAGUGAAAUUUAUAUGUAUUUAUGAAUUAUUUUAAUAUGUUGGUUAUUUAUUUGUAAAUUGUUUGAUAUGUCCGGUAAUGCCUCGUAACCCUGUUUCGACGACGGUUUGGGGUUAGGGGGUGUUACAGCUCACCAAUUUAGAAAGAGCACGAAGAGGGCUCAGCCACAACACCUCUUGCCCGGUCUGUCAACAUAACACAAAAGAUGUUCUACACAUUCUUAGAAACUGCCCGACAACUAAAGAAGUUUGGUUAAACAUUGUCCCUCUAAGCUGACAAACCCAAUUCUUUUCAAGUAAUAUUUUUGAAUGGGUGAAGGAAAGUUUAAGACAUCACGAGUGGCUGACAUGGGCUAAAGCUUACUGGCCCACCCUUUUUAGGCUACUAGCAUAGCGUAUAUAGAAGAAUAGGAACCUAUUUGUCUUUCAAGGUUUAACAUGGAGUUUAGCAUAGAACAUCAAGAUUUCUAUUUGUUAAGCAAGACAGUAUACCAACUCUCAUGCAUGGGAUUCAUCUCAAGAUUUAAAUAAAUAAUUCGAGCAGAACUUAGAAACAGUUGUUGAGUAAAGACGUAGAUUUAGGCUUUGUUUUUCUUUUAAUUUAGUUUGUUUUUUCACCAAAAAAAUAGAUAAGAGAGAUUAUUGCCUAGAGUUGGUAUUGCACAUAAAGUCUUCUACAAACUAGAAUCAUAUUGUUGUUCCUAUCCUCAACCAUCGUUGCACAUCCAAAGCUUUCAUUUCUCCUCCUCUUUUGAUUAAUAGGGACAAAUUCCCUUGAAACUCAUUUCCUUUAUCCUCCCUAAGCUUUGUCAACUUGUGAUUAUCAGCUCUUAUGUCACUCGAGACCAUGCAAGUUCCUUCUCUCCCAAAAGACAUAAAUUUCUAAUAAAUCACGGUGUCUUGCCCAAUUUAGGUUUAAGAUCCUCGAAUGUUGCUUCAUUUCUUGCCUUCCAAAUUCCGUAUAAAUGAAGAUAAUAGAACUCUCUUGCUUCCUUGGCACCAAGAUCCUCCAUCAUUAGUCAUUUAGAAAUCCAUUUCAAAACAAUAUUGAGACUAAAAGCUUGUAUUCUCAAAGAAAGUGGUCCACCAAAUCAGAUUGUCCUAGCAAACUCAUAAUUAACAAUAAUAUGCUUCAUAGAUUCUGAGUGCAUGUAGCUUAGAGGGCAUUCAACUGUAACAUAAACAUUUCUCCUGAUUAGCUCAUCCCUUAUUGGAAUGCUUCCAUGGCAUAUCAUCCAAAGAUCCCUUAUUGGAAUGCUUCCAUGGCAUAUCAUCCAAAGGAACACAAUAAUCUUGUAAGGGAGAUUGAGUUUCCAUGGAUUAGACCACUUGAUUUGAUGUGGUCUCCCUUGACUCCCUCAAAGUUGUUGUAAUUCCAAAGAUAAUUUAAUAAAAAAUUUCUCAUUAAAUUCAAAUUUCCGAAUAAAUUUGUCUUUCCCUCCCAAAAUAUAAAAAGUCCUACUCAUGAUCUCUUGCCUAGGUUAUCACCCAAUGCGGUCUGAUUUUUUUGUAAGCCUAUAAUAUGCCAUUAUUAAGCAUUAAGUCUCGACCAUUAUUAUGCAUUUUGCAUGAUCCUUAAGUAAAAUAUUGCAUUUUAGUUUAGAUUGCUUAUUUUGAAUCUCAGUUGCAUUUAUUCAUCUUUUUUUUCCCUUUAUUUUAUGUAUUUUUCAAUAAUUAAAUUUUAAUCAAGUGUUUUUGAGGUUGAAAUAGGUGCACGAAAGCUUGAAGCUAGAGUUUUGAAAUCAUCGAAAGAUUAGACAAAGAACCGAGGCAAAGCAUAUUCGAAAAUGAAGAGUUUGGAGCCCCGACACAGCAAUUUGGUGUCCCACACACGAGCAGCAGCGCCCCAACCUUAGCUGACACCCCAACAUGAGAAGCGAAGCACCUACGUUAGCACCCCCGUGCCGAAUCACUUCAUUUUAACUUGAAGUUUCGCUUCAUCAUCAAGUGAAUCAAAUGAACUAAUUCUAGGAUCACUUGUACGUUUAUUGAAAGUAUAAAAAAAGUUAUCAUAUCUUUAUGAGGUAUUUGCACAAUUAAUAAGUGUUGCGUGUAGUGAUAAAGUAUAUUGCAUUCUCAAAAAUAAAAUAGAGUAAUCACGAAUCUCGAACAUAAAUCAUAAAAC